ensembl:piRNA 21ur-3683 ncRNA
UACGAUUUGUCCAUUUUUUGG